AUAGAUCAGGCUAAACAGAGAAAACCUACAAUCAGAAGCAAUGAGACCCUAGGAUUAUAAUUCUUCCAAGCUUUGAAGUCUGGUUAGUAUUGAGGAUGUUGUUACUAAAACAGAAGUAGUAACAACAGCUUACCUGACUGGUUAACUCUUACACGCGUUCACGCGACCGGCCAGGAAAGAACGCAACAAACCGGAAUCUUCUGCGGCACAACUUUAUUGCUUACAUCUUCAGGAGCCAGAGAGCAAGAGAG
rnacentral:lncRNA from 1 species